AUGUAAAUAGUGGUUGCUAAAACAGUUUUGAAAUGGUUUGAGGCCUUGCCCUGCUGUAUCCAGAGCAAGGUUAUAGAAAUUGUAAAAAAAA
rnacentral:snoRNA from 1 species